CUGCCGAUGAAUGAAAAUCACUUGGACAAGUAUUUUUUAAGAAAUGAAUCAUCCUUUGUAAAAUUGCAGUACGCUACAGUAUUAUUUUAUCUGGAGAUUGCCUUGACCUGUUGACGCCUGGGGUUCAGGUGCUUUAAAAGGAUGAGGACGUUCUCUGUGGCCGCACCAACCCUCUUGAAUGGGUUGAAUGGGUUACCCACCGGGCUCCGGACGGCCCCUGACCUCAUACUUUCCGCGCCGAGCUGAAGACAUGGCUUUUUCAGCAAAUUCCUUGAUCUGCCGCGAGGUUUUUUAAUUGUCUGGGGUUUUUAAUUGACUAAUUUUAGCACUUGGAUUGUUGUAUUGUUUUUAUUUUAUGAGCCACCCCGAGUCCUACGGGAGAAGGGCGGCAUAUAAAUUUGAAAAAUAAAUAAAUAAAUAAAUAAUCAGAACUCA